CCUACGGGUGGCAGCAGUGGGGAAUUUUGGACAAUGGGCGAAAGCCUGAUCCAGCCAUGCCGCGUGAGUGAAGAAGGCCUUCGGGUUGUAAAGCUCUUUCGGCUGAAAAGAAAUCGCACAGGCUAAUACCUUGUGUGGAUGACGGUAUCAGCAUAAGAAGCACCGGCUAACUACGUGCCAGCAGCCGCGGUAAUACGUAGGGUGCGAGCGUUAAUCGGAAUUACUGGGCGUAAAGCGUGCGCAGGCGGUUUUGUAAGAUAGGCGUGAAAUCCCCG
rnacentral:rRNA from 1 species